AACGUAGGAGGCAAGCGUUAUCCGGAAUUACUGGGCGUAAAGGGCUCGUAGGCGGCCAACUAAGUCAGACGUGAAAUCCCUCGGCUUAACCGGGGAACUGCGUCUGAUACUGGAUGGCUUGAGAUUGGGAGAGGGAUGCGGAAUUCCAGGUGUAGCGGUGAAAUGCGUAGAUAUCUGGAGGAACACCGGUGGCGAAGGCGGCAUCCUGGACCAACACUGACGCUGAGGAGCGAAAGCCAGGGGAGCAAACGGG
rnacentral:rRNA from 1 species